rnacentral:lncRNA from 1 species
GCCAAGAUGGCCGAAUAGGAACAGCUCCGGUCUACAGCUCCCAGCGUGAGCGACACAGAAGACGGGUGAUUUCUGCAUUUCCAUCUGAGAUGAGGAAAUAGAAGUCCAGAGAGUAAAGCAGAUUGCUCAAAGCUAAUAAUGAUGACAGGAAUCAAAGCCAGUUCACAGAAAAGGAAAGUGAAGCUUGGAAAAGUGAAACCACUUGCUCUAAGUGGCAGGAAGAGGUGGCGUUGAACCCCAGGGCUCUUGCAUUCAAAAGCUCUUUUGGAAAGAGAAAAGGAAAAGUGCAGCUGACUGAACUGUGAAGCAAAGGAGCUAAGAAGCCUGGAUGCCAACCCCAAGGGUCCUGAAGAGUCCCAUUGAGGAGCUCCUUACAGCAGAAAGCCCAUUUCUCAGAGGCACAUACAUGGUCCAGAGCCAAGAAGGUCCAGAAAGCAAGACUGCAUCCUUCACCAAGGAAGGUGAUUGUGAUGUGGACACUUCAAGGGGGAACAAAAAAAAAUCUUCCUUUGAAAACCUAACAUUGGCUCUGCCAAUUCAAUUUCACCGAGGUCCUUUGAGAACUGAGUUCAAAGGUUCUCUACAGCUUCCAUUUACUUUGGCAUAAGAUUUAACAGAAAAAGAAUUAAGGGAGAAUUUAUAUGGGCCAGGCUGUUUUCCAAAUCUCAGACUGCUAAAAGUUAUUUAGAAUUUGCUUUAACUUGCAAUCCUAUGUAAAGUGGUUCAGAUGUAAAUGCUUUCCGUGUGGCCUGAGGCAAUCUAGGUUUCCUCAAAUGCACAUGUGCCAUUCGAAUAUUAAAGAUUUUGAUUGGAAAUCUCAAAGUACAUUGGGUUCCUCUUGAUUAGAGACUGCUGUUACUUUAUGCGACAUUGGGUCAGAGGAGGAGAAAUAAAACAUACUGCCUUCAUUUGGGCAUUAUAUUCUCACAGUAGCUCUAACAUAAACAAACUUCACAGGCUGAGAGAAGGGCAUUUGCUCCUUUAAAUUGAGUAUGUAAUGUAAAUAAAUGUCUUCUAAGAAAGGAUGGCUGAAACUUGAUUCUGAGUCUGAACCUAUACAAGGG